rnacentral:lncRNA from 1 species
GUUAAAAUUCGUCACAUUCCCGGAUGGCUGCGACAGUGGCCUCAAGCAAAGCGAUGCCCUCCAAGGCUUCAUGUCUGAGCUUGAGCGUCUUGGCUCCCAAGCUCUUACCGACCUCCUCAUAGCCAGCGCUAAUGAAGGUCGUCCCGUUGCUUGCAUAAUCUACGGCAUCCUGAUUCCUUGGGUAGCAGAGGUGGCGCAUAGUCUUCACAUCCCCUCCGCACUUUUUUGGAGUCAACCUGUCUCUGUUUUUAAUAUCUAUUAUUAUUAUUUUUGUGGCUAUGGAGAGCUCAUUCGCAAGAAAGUCCGUGACUCCUCGCCUUCCAUUGAAUUACCAGGACUGCCCUUGCUCAGUAGCCGUGACAUUCCCUGUUUCCUACUCCCCUCAAAUGCAAAUGAAUACAACUUCGUCCUUUCAGCGUUUGAGAAGCACCUAGAGAUGCUCCACCGUGAUACCAACCCAACGGUACUGAUAAACACUUUCGAUGCAUUGGAACCAGAGGCCCUAAGGGCCGUCAGUAAGUUUAAGUCGAUUGGAGUUGGACCCUUGUUUCCAACCGCUUUCUUGGGUGGAAAAGAUCCAUCCGAUACUUCAUUUGGAGGUGAUCUUUUCCGUCGUUCAAAGGAUUAUAUUGAAUGGCUGAACUCAAAGCCUGAAUCUUCUGUCAUUUACGUGUCAUUUGGAAGCCUAGCGGUGUUAUCGAAGCAACAGUCUGAGGAGAUUGCUCGUGGAUUGCUGGACAGUGGCCGGCCUUUCCUGUGGGUCAUAAGAGCCAAGGAGAAGGGAGAAGAAGAGAAAGAAGAAGAUAAACUAAGUUGCUACGCAGAAUUAGAACAACAAGGGAUGAUAGUACCAUGGUGUUCUCAGGUUGAGGUUCUCUCAAAUCCAUCACUGGGUUGUUUCGUGACUCAUUGUGGGUGGAAUUCAACCUUGGAGAGCUUGGCUUCUGGGGUGCCAGUUGUGGCAUUUCCUCAGUGGACCGACCAAUCCACGAAUGCAAAGCUAGCCGAAGACGUGUGGAAAACGGGUGUACGGGUGACCGUGAACCAAGAAGGAAUAGUUGAAAGCGAUGAGAUUAAGAGGUGCUUGGAAUUGGUCAUGGGAGAUGGAGAGGAGGCGAAAGAAAUGAGAAGGAAUGCAAAGAAAUGGAAGGGUUUGGCAAGGGAGGCUGUGAUGGAAGGUGGAUCAUCUGACAAGAAUCUUAAGAAUUUUAUGGAUGAGGUCAUACAAGGUUACUAGCUAGAUAUUGUGGUUGUAUCUCUUGGAGUUUAUGUUAAGACUCCCCGAUUAAUUUAAAUAUUUUACAAGAAGAUUUUUAUUAUUUAUGAUGUUAAUACAAGUAGUAGUAUUAAUUAAUGGUAGAGGGCAUAUCUAAAAUUAUGGGAGAUUCAUUGCUUCCUGAAGGCCCUAUCACAAAGGAUCUGUCAAAUGCGUGGCUAAGGUGCUGUUUGGUAAAUGUCCGUUACCAGCCAAAAUUUUGCAAUUAUUGCUAAUGGGAAUCAGGGAAACCCCAAACUGGCCUUGAUGGUCCUUGCGUAAAGACCCAUCCAAUUCUUUACAUUGUGGCCACUGAUUUGGUGUCUUAUCCUCUCAUGCCCAUCACUUCAUGUUUACAAAUUGAUAUUGUAUUCAUAGCUAUUUUUGAUGAAGGUUCAAUUGGCAAGAAGUAUUUUUGCCUUGGGAAGAUGUUGGUUAUGGAUUCAAAGCAAAAUAACAGAUUAAAAAAAUGAUCCUUGUACAAAUUUUUGGGUGCCUCUAUUAAUUAAGUGAAUAUUAUUAUUUAAUUGAUAAAUUAAUAAUUUAUUAAUUUAAUUACUUAUUAAUUAAAUCUCUGGAAUAAUUCUAUUAUGGAACCUAUCUUGCACUAAGAAGCAUCCAUAGCGAUAAUAAUAUUAAAUAAAUUUUUGUUAUAGUACGAGAAUGUUACAUCAGACCUUUUUUUUUUUUUUUUUUUUUUCAUAUUAGGAAUAGUUGAAGAUGAGAUUCAAGUAAACAUCAGUUUUAAGAAGAAAUAACACAUAUAUUUUAAGAAGGAUUCUUGAUAAAACAUAUGAAUUUAAUUACACAUUAGAAAAUUAUUAAUUUCUAUAAUAUGUGGAUUUUAUAUGAAACUACAUAGAUUUUUUAUUUUAUAAAUUUAUCAAAUUAUUAGUUUAGCACGGUGGCCCCAAGUUUAGAUUAAUUAAAAAAAAUUAAUUGAAGUUCUUAAUUAAUUAAAUAUUAAAUUAUUAUAAAGUUUUAUUGUAUUUUAUUUUCAUGGUUCUAAAAAUUGGAUUGAACUAGUCGAUUUGAUUGGUUUGAGCAUUGAUUGACUAUGUAUUUUACAUAUGAGAUCGAUUAUGAGUUGCACUUUCAUCCCAAGGUAUUUUAAAAUUAGGAAAAUCAAUCCCAAGGUAUCUAUUUUUCUUUUCUUAGUCUAUUCACUAUUGUCCAAACACUCCAUAUGUGGAAUGUGGAAUGUAACUUGGAGGGGCUUGAAUAUGCAGAGUUUUAUAACUUUGCACAUUAAUGUCUCAAAGUGUUAAAAUCUUUUACAACUAAUUGUAGAUAAGUUUAGUAUUGACAAAUAAUUUUAUUACAAUUAAAUAAAAUAUUAGAAUUUUUUUAUUAUCCUACUAAUUUUAUGACAAUCAAAUUUAUACAAAAGUAAUUCUUGGUGUCUCGUGUUACUAAAAACAGAAACUCACUUAAGAACUCAUCACGCCUUUGGUGGAGAAAGAUACUUCAUGGGAUGCUAGUAUUAAUUCUCAAGCAGUGGACCUAGGUGAGAGUAAGAAGAAAACCAAAAUAGUAGAACACUCAUCUAAAUUGUCCCAAAAAAAUGGAGGACAAAAUUCCCAAGAAAGUUCAAUAAACAAGUACAAGAAAAGCCAUGAAAGCCCAUUAUUUUUGGAAACAAUGUCAAAUAUUGAAGAAAUUGUCAAAGCAAAAUAUUGAACUUUCAACUUUAGGCACUUAAACAUACUAAUAAGGGGGGGAAUGAACAUAUUACAUAUGACAGUCCUUUAUCGUCGUAUUGACUUUUUUGAUAUGGUGGUAAAGUAUGAAGUGCUUGCAAGAGGGCUAUUAUCAUAUAUGGAAAAUGAUGAGAAAUCCAUACUAUAUAUGGUGAGCUAGAAAAGAAAAAGGCAAGCUAGUGAAAAGAUGCAAAGCCUUGCACUCUAGUUACAAGACGAGUUGCUUUUGUUUGAGGUGCACUUCUACUCACCCAUUAGCCAUAAAUGUAUGCAUUAUUCACAUGCAUUCACUUGGGUCAAGCAUUUUAAUUGUUCAUCUUCAUUACCAAAAAGAAUAAGUUAUUAGCUAGCUAGGUGAUAGAUGAGAAAUAUGUAUCAAGUUAGAAAAAUGCUAAGUUACAUAAUAGGUAUCACACUGAAUUCUAAAUUUGAGCUACUAAUGUGUGGAACAAAACAUGGAUUGUAAAAUACCAAUACUAAAAGAUGAGACUUAGAUAUAAAGAAAUAAAAUAAAAUAAAGUAGAAAAAAAAUAUAAUCUUAGUAUAAUUAAUAAAUAGAAACUUGUUAGAUGCAUGAACAAAAAAGAUCAUUUUUCCACAUAUAUUGACUUUUUGUCAGCUAUCCCUUUUUUUUAUGAGGUAUGGAAAGCAAUUUCCCUAUCAUAGAAUGAUUAAUAAAUGCAUGGGAAAAUAAUUGAACACAUUAAUGAGAUUCAAAUUCAAGAUUCAUAAGCCAAGGUACCUAUUAAAAGCUGCUAGUUGACCUAUAAGUUUAAGCUGAUAGAAAAAUAAUGAUAUCAAGCUUACCAGGAUUAGAUGAAGGGAUUAUAAAAAAGAUAAAAAUAAAAUUAUUGUGUGCAUUCCAAGAAUAGCGACUUGUGAUUGUAUGAGUGGGUGCAAAAAGUGAAGUUAGCCUAUAAGAUUCAUUUCUCCAAUCCUCUCAACAAAGACCACUAGACUGCUAAAGAAUUAUUUGCUACUACAAAUGAGCAACUCCAUCAAGAAGCUAAGGAAUGGCUAAUGCUUACCAUAGAGAAUUGCACCACUCUUUCUAUUUUCAUAGCCACUGUUGCCUUUGCUACAACCUACAUGGUACCAGAGUAAAAAACUUAGAGAUAUGAAGAAAAGAAGAGAUGCGGAGCACCUAUUUGAGAGAAAAUCGGAGAGAUAAAAACUAAAAAAAUUGAACAACUUAGUAUCAUUGAUAAGAACUUUGUUUCUUAUAUACAAAUAUUCAGAAAUUAGUUACAAACAACUGAUUACUACUCAAAAAGUGCUAUUUGAUAGCUUAUAAUUAAUCCUUUUAAACACUUUUGAGUAGUAGUUUUGGCCUUUUAACUCAAUUGGCAUGUUAAGGACCCUUGAAAGCAAUUUUAAUCACUUUGUGUAAGUUUUGGUGUUUUUGUUAGUAUUUUGAUCACCAAAGCAAUUCAAGAUUGAGGAGAAUUUUGAGGAAUCUUGGGCAAAGAUUGGAAGUCAUUUGCCAAGAGUAAAUCCGAAGUGCAAGGAGAAAAAGUAAAGAGAAUCUGCCAUGAAGCAUAUUCUUGAUGACAGUCGUGGCAGCCACUUUUGGAGCACUUUCUGAAGUCCAAUUGAUGCAUGCUAUAUACCAUUUCAAAGAUCAGGAAGUCAACAAUCUAAUGCUUCAAACGGUGCACAAUUCGGAGUUGAAACGAAGAAGUUGCAGCCAUUGCAAGCCAAUCACUCCAAGCUGAAGGAAGCAUUUUCCAAAGUGUUGCGAAAUCACCCUUUUGUUGCGAAGUGAUUUCGCAGCAUUUUUGUACAGUAUGGUGUAUUUCCUCCUGAAGUUGCCCGAUAUAUGCCGCAAGCUGGAAGCUGAGAGCAUCAAGGUAGAAGCCAACUUCGCAGCCCUGCGAAGAUAGCAUGUUGUUGCGAAAUGAUUUCGCAGCCCUUCUUGAGUGUCUGCGAAAUCUCGCAGACACCAUUUUCUCUUGCGGAAUGGUUCCUGGAGCAUCCCGAUAUUUGCUACCGACAUUGGGAGAUAUUUUACAUCAGAUUUUUGUUGUCUAAAUCCCAAAAUACUCCUUGUAAGCCACCAAUUACAAGAUUCCUUAGCUUUAAGUUAGUAAAAAGAGAAAAUAUCUAUGUAAUAAUUAGUUUUAUAUUAUGUUCAUAUAAAUACCUCUCGGGAGCCUGUUCUCAGAGAGAGCCUUUUGUAAAGUUUUAGGUAAGCAAGUAAAGUUCAGUUCUUUGUAUUACCUUACCUUCUCACUUUGUAUAUUUUAUUUUCUUACUAAGUUAUGAACUCUCUGAGGAGUUUUCCCCAGAGAAUGAGUAACUAAACCUCUAAUUCCUUGGAGCUAAGGUUGCCGGGGAAGGUUCCAAGUGCAAGAAUGCAAAGCUUUGUGGUUUUAGCUAGUAAUGAAGAGGAAGUGAAAUCCUUUAGUGAUUUCUAUGUUUUUAGUUAACUUAAAACACCUUAGAGUCAUCUGGGCCAACACUUGGUAAGGCAAGUGAUUUCCAACCAUGGAAAUGCACUAGUUUACCCUUUGCGAGCCUCUGGAAGGUGACUUUAGGGUAGGAUUUUCUAGAAUAGCCAACACUUGGUAAGCUUUUGGACUCCAAGGAGACAUCCAUUAGUUAUCUCUUGCGAGCUUUUGAAGGGAAGUCCAAGGUUAAAGAUCAUCUUGAAUGGUAAGUGCUCGUGAGAGGCAUGAACCAUUGCAAGUUGUAUCAAUGAGAGAAUUAAAGUUGAAAUCCAAUUAAAGGAUGUAUCUGUACAACACCGGUUAGAGAAUUGACUAUAUGUUGAAUCUCUAACGCGAGGAAAGGAACCAUCUGACCGGAGCUAUGUCUUUUGCAUGAGGAACCACCCCAGUGAACCUAACUCUCCAAGGAAUGCUUUUCUUCCUAAGUUAUUCCGAGUACUUGUUAUGUUAGUUAGUUUAAAUCUUUACCAAUCAAAGUUUGUGUUUUAUUUCUUAAGCUAACCUUGAAAUGAAACAAGACCAAUUCACUUGGAAUUGGUAUCAUUGAUAGCUUGCUAAUCCUUCCCAGUGAACGAUCCUAGAGCCGUUAUACUAUAGUAGCUUUUUCUUUGCUACCCUAGUAUAUGGUGUUAUAGGUUAUAAAUUUUGUUGAUUACUCCCUCUAUCAAGGAGCACCAGUUGGACACGAAUCAGCUGAGACACCAAUUGGGCACGAAUCAAAUGGCGCCGUUGCCGGGGAAUGUGUCAAUUUUAUAGCGAUACCAUUUUUUAGCACUUGUGAUUGUCAUCACAAGUUUGGUAACGUUUCUUUCACUUUACUAAUUCUCAUUCUUUCUUUAUUUAUUCAUAAUCCAAGUUUAUCUUUUAAAUUCAGCUUAGUUUAAUUUUGUUUUUCGUAGCCCUGUUUUCUUUUGUUGUCCUUUAUUUUCAUUUUAGUUGCAGAUAGAUACUAGUUGUGUAUGCCAAAUUGGAUACGAGACAGUGGAGGAAGACUUGUUAAGUGUGAUACACCUCAUAACAAAGAAUUUGAGUUGAGCUUGAAUAUCAUGGAAACUACACCUGAAGAUCAGCAUAGUCACCAAGGUCGUCAAGACAAUCUCAAUGAAUUCAGAUCAAUGAGGGACCGUAUGCAUCCACCUCGUAUGAGUGCACCAUCAUGUAUAGUGCCCCCUACAGAGCAGCUAGUGAUCAGACCGUAUCUCGUUCCACUUCUACCAACUUUCCAUGGGAUGGAAAGUGAGAAUCCGUAUGCAUACAUCAAGGAAUUUGAAGAUGUUUGUAAUACAUUCCAAGAGGGAGGAGCUUCAAUUGAUUUGAUGAGGCUUAAGUUAUUUUCUUUUACUUUAAAGGAUAAAGCCAAAAUUUGGCUUAAUUCUUUAAGGCCAAGGAGUAUCCGUUCUUGGACUGACUUACAAGCUGAAUUCCUCAAGAAAUUUUUUCCCACUCAUAGAACAAAUGGCUUGAAAAGGCAAAUUUCAAACUUCUCAGCUAAAGAGAAUGAGAAAUUCUAUGAGUGUUGGGAAAGAUACAUGGAAGCUAUAAAUGCUUGUCUUCACCAUGGCUUUGAUACUUGGCUAUUGGUGAGUUAUUUUUAUGAUGGUAUGUCCUCCUCAAUGAAGCAACUCCUCGAGACAAUGUGUGGAGGAGAUUUCAUGAGUAAAAAUCCAGAGGAAGCUAUGGAUUUCUUGAGCUAUGUAGCUGAUGUUUCAAGGGGAUGGGAUGAACCAACCAAAGGAGAAGUGGGGAAGAUGAAGUCUCAACUGAGUGCUUUCAAUGCAAAGGCUGGGAUGUAUACCUUGAAAGAAGAUGAUGAUAUGAAAGCAAAAUUGGCAGCUAUGACAAGAAGAUUGGAGGAGCUGGAGCUGAAAAGAAUACAUGAAGUGCAAGCUGUUGCUGAAGCACCAGUGCAAGUGAAGCUGUGUCCCAAUUGUCAAUCAUAUGAACAUUUGGUGGAGGAAUGCCCUACAAUUUCAGCUGAAAGGGAGAUGUUUAAAGAUCAAGCAAAUGUUGUUGGACAAUUCAGGCCCAAUAACAAUGCGCCUUAUGGAUAUACCUACAACUCAAGUUGGAGGAAUCAUCCAAAUUUCUCAUGGAAGGCCAGAGCAACUCAAUACCAACAGCCGGAUCCACCACCUCAACAAACUUCAAGUCUUGAUCAAGCAAUGGCUAAUCUCAGCAAGGUAGUGGGAGAUUUUGUUGGAAAGCAAGAAGCCACCAAUGCUCAAAUCUAUCAAAGAAUUGAUAGAGUAGAGAGUAUGUUGAAUAAUAUGAUGGAUGGAAUGCAAAAUGAUAUGAACCAAAAGUUUGAUAACAUCCAAUAUUCAAUUUCAAGGCUUACAAAUUUGAAUACACUGCAAGAAAAGGGAAGAUUUCCUUCUCAACCCCACCAAAACCCCAAAGGUGUCCAUGAAGUGGAAAGCUAAGAGGGAGAAUCAUCACAGAUGAAAGAUGUCAAAGCCUUGAUCACUCUAAGGAGUGGUAAAAAAAUUGAGCAGCCAACACCCAAGCCACAUGUUGAGAAAGAAGAAGAAAUAAAGAAAGGGAAGGAAAUGAAAGAUAAAGACAGUGAGGUCAGUGAAGAAAAGAAGGACUCUGAUUCAACAAUGAAUGCAAUUCCAGAGAAGGAACUUAUGAAGGAAGAAAUGCUGAAGAAAUCAACUUCUCCACCUUUUCCUCAAGCAUUACAUGGGAAAAAGGGGGUUAGAAAUGCAGCUGAAAUCCUUGAAGUAUUGAGACAAGUGAAAGUCAAUAUUCCACUGCUGGAUAUGAUUAAACAAGUUCCAACGUAUGCAAAAUUCCUAAAGGAUUUAUGUACUAUCAAAAGAGGGUUGACUGUAAACAAGAAAGCCUUAUUGACUGAGCAAGUAAGUGCAAUCUUACAAUGUAAGUCUCCAUUGAAGUACAAAGACCCGGGAAGUCCUACCAUUUUAGUCAUGAUUGGAGGAAAGAUAGUGGAAAAAGCCUUGUUAGAUUUGGGAGCAAGUGUGAAUUUGCUUCCAUAUUCCGUCUAUAAGCAAUUGGGACUUGGUGAGUUGAAGCUAAUAGCAAUCACUCUAUCUCUAGCAGAUAGAUCAGUAAAAAUUCCAAGGGGGGUAAUUGAGGAUGUCUUGGUUCAAGUGGAUAAUUUCUACUAUCCAGUAGAUUUUAUUGUUCUUGAUACAGAUCCUACUGUAAAGGAAGCUAAUUUAGUUCCUAUCAUCCUUGGAAGGCCAUUUCUUGCUACCUCAAAUGCAAUCAUCAACUGCAGGAAUGGGCUGAUGCAACUCACUUUUGGCAACAUGACACUGGAUCUCAAUAUUUUCUAUAUGUCUAAAAAGCAAAUCACUCCGGAAGAAGAAGAGGGUCCAGAAGAGCUGUGCAUUAUUGAUACUUUGGUGGAGGAGCACUGUAAUCAAAAUAUGCAAGACAAGUUGAAUGAAAGUCUUGUGAAUUUUGAGGAAGGUUUGUCUGAAUCUCCUACUGUGCUUGCUACUCUACAAAGUUGGAGAAAGAUAGAAGAGAUUCUACCUUUGUUCAAUGAAGAAGAAGAGGCAGCUGCUGAAAAAGAAAUUCCAAAAUUCAAUCUGAAGCCUCUACCUGUGGAGCUGAAAUAUACAUAUCUUGAAGAAAAUAAUCAAUGUCCUGUUGUAAUAUCUUCAUCUCUGACCAGUCAUCAGAAGAAUUGUUUAAUGGAAGUUCUCAAGAGGUGUAAGAGGGCAAUAGGAUGGCAAAUAUCCGACUUGAAAGGCAUUAGUCCUUUAGUUUGUACUCAUCAUAUAUAUAUGGAGGAGGAAGCAAAGCCAAUUCGUCAACUUCAAAGAAGGUUGAAUCCUCAUCUACAAGAGGUGGUGCGAGCUAAGGUGCUGAAGCUACUUCAGGCAGGAAUCAUUUACCCUAUAUCUGAUAGCCCUUGGGUGAGUCCUACUCAAGUGGUACCAAAGAAGUCAGGGAUCACAGUGGUUCCGAAUGAAAAAGGAGAAGAAGUUACUACACGCCUCACUUCAGGUUGGAGGGUGUGUAUUGAUUAUAGAAAGUUGAAUGCUGUAACCAGGAAGGAUCAUUUUCCAUUGCCAUUUAUUGACCAAGUGCUGGAGAGAGUCUCUGGACAUCCAUUCUAUUGUUUCUUGGAUGGGUAUUCAGGGUAUUUUCAGAUUGAAAUUGAUGUGGCAGAUCAGGAAAAGACCACUUUUACAUGUCCAUUUGGAACAUAUGCUUACAGGAGAAUGCCUUUUGGUUUAUGCAAUGCACCUGCUACAUUUCAAAGAUGUAUGUUGAGUAUUUUCAGUGAUAUGGUGGAACGAAUUAUGGAGGUUUUCAUGGAUGACAUCACUGUAUAUGGAGGUACAUUUGAGGAAUGCUUAGUUAAUUUGGAAGCAGUUCUUCACAGAUGCAUUGAAAAAGAUCUGGUGCUCAACUGGGAGAAAUGUCAUUUUAUGGUACGUCAAGGAAUUGUCCUUGGUCAUAUCAUCUCUAAAAGAGGCAUUGAAGUUGAUAAAGCAAAGGUGGAGCUUAUUGUCAAAUUACCAUCCCCAACAACUGUAAAAGGAGUAAGGCAGUUCCUUGGCCAUGCAGGGUUCUAUAGGAGAUUUAUAAAAAGGUUUUUCAAGUCUUUCAAAACCUCUUUGUGAGCUGUUAGCUAAGGAUGCUAAAUUUAUAUGGGAUGAAAGGUGUCAGAAUAGCUUUGAUCAACUGAAGAAAUUUUUAACAGCAACUCCAAUAGUGAGAGCCCCUAACUGGCAAUUACCUUUUGAACUGAUGUGUGAUGCCAGUGACUUUGCUAUAGGAGCUGUGCUUGGCCAAAGGGAAGAUGGGAAGCCCUAUGUGAUUUACUAUGCAAGUAAAACACUGAAUGAAGCUCAAAGGAACUACACAACUACAGAGAAAGAAUUGUUAGCUGUGGUAUUUGCUUUGGACAAAUUUCGUGCUUAUUUAGUGGGGUCUUUCAUCAUUGUCUUUACUGACCAUUCAGCCUUGAAGUAUUUAUUGACAAAGCAAGAUGCAAAAGCAAGGUUGAUUAGAUGGAUUCUUUUGUUACAAGAAUUCGAUCUUCAAAUCAAAGAUAAGAAAGGAGUGGAGAAUGUGGUAGCUGACCACCUUUCCAGGUUAGUUAUAGCACAUAAUUCCCAUCCCUUGCCUAUUAAUGAUGAUUUUCCUGAAGAAUCACUCAUGUUCUUAGUGAAAACUCCUUGGUAUGCUCAUAUUGCUAAUUAUUUAGUAACUGGUGAAAUUCCAAGUGAGUGGAAUGCACAGGACCGGAAGCACUUCUUUGCCAAAAUUCAUGCUNNNNNNNNNNNNNNNNNNNNNNNNNNNNNNNNNNNNNNNNNNNNNNNNNNNNNNNNNNNNNNNNNNNNNNNNNNNNNNNNNNNNNNNNNNNNNNNNNNNNCCCUAACUGGCAAUUACUUUUGAACUGAUGUGUGAUGCCAGUGACUUUGCUAUAGGAGCUGUGCUUGGCCAAAGGGAAGAUGGGAAGCCCUAUGUGAUUUACUAUGCAAGUAAAACACUGAAUGAAGCUCAAAGGAACUACACAACUACAGAGAAAGAAUUGUUAGCUGUGGUAUUUGCUUUGGACAAAUUUCGUGCUUAUUUAGUGGGGUCUUUCAUCAUUGUCUUUACUGACCAUUCAGCCUUGAAGUAUUUAUUGACAAAGCAAGAUGCAAAAGCAAGGUUGAUUAGAUGGAUUCUUUUGUUACAAGAAUUCGAUCUUCAAAUCAAAGAUAAGAAAGGAGUGGAGAAUGUGGUAGCUGACCACCUUUCCAGGUUAGUUAUAGCACAUAAUUCCCAUCCCUUGCCUAUUAAUGAUGAUUUUCCUGAAGAAUCACUCAUGUUCUUAGUGAAAACUCCUUGGUAUGCUCAUAUUGCUAAUUAUUUAGUAACUGGUGAAAUUCCAAGUGAGUGGAAUGCACAGGACCGGAAGCACUUCUUUGCCAAAAUUCAUGCUUAUUAUUGGGAAGAGCCCUUUCUUUUUAAGUAUUGUGCAGAUCAGAUCAUAAGGAAGUGUGUUCCUGAAGAUGAGCAGCAAGGGAUUCUAUCUCAUUGUCAUGAGAAUGCAUGUGGAGGCCACUUUGCCUCUCAGAAAACAGCUAUGAAGGUGUUGCAAUCAGGGUUUACUUGGCCAUCUCUUUUCAAAGAUGCCCACAUCAUGUGUAGAAGUUGUGACAGAUGCCAAAGGCUUGGAAAGCUAACAAAAAGAAAUCAAAUGCCUAUGAACCCCAUUCUAAUAGUUGAGCUAUUUGAUGUAUGGGGCAUUGACUUCAUGGGACCUUUCCCAAUGUCUUUUGGUAAUUCUUACAUCUUGGUGGGGGUGGAUUAUGUUUCUAAAUGGGUUGAGGCAAUCCCCUAUAAACAAAAUGAUCACAGGGUGGUUCUCAAGUUUCUUAAAGAGAACAUUUUCUCAAGAUUUGGGGUGCCCAAAGCCAUAAUCAGUGAUGGAGGUGCUCAUUUUUGCAACAAACCUUUUGAAGCUCUGUUAUCCAAGUAUGGAGUGAAGCAUAAGGUGGCUACACCUUAUCAUCCUCAGACUUCCGGGCAAGUUGAGCUAGCUAACAGGGAAAUAAAGAACAUAUUGAUGAAAGUGGUGAAUUCCAGUAGAAAAGAUUGGUCUAUUAGGCUUCAUGAUUCAUUGUGGGCAUAUAGAAUAGCUUAUAAGACUAUUCUUGGGAUGUCUCCUUAUCUUCUUGUCUAUGGCAAAGCAUGCCAUCUCCCUGUGGAAGUUGAAUACAAGGCUUGGUGGGCAAUAAAGAAGUUAAACAUGGAUUUGGUCAGAGCCGGAGAAAAGAGAUAUCUAGACCUUAAUGAGAUGGAGGAAUUAAGAAAUAAUGCUUAUAUCAAUUCCAAAGUUGCAAAACAGAGGAUGAAGAAGUGGCAUGAUCAACUCAUCUCCAACAAGGAAUUUCAGGAAGGGCAAAGAGUUUUACUGUAUGACACAAGACUCCAUAUCUUUCCUGGGAAGCUCAAGUCAAGGUGGAUAGACCCGUUCAUUAUUCACCGAGUAUAUUCCAAUGGAGUGGUGGAAUUAUUGAAUUCAAAUGGCAAGGAUAGCUUUAGAGUCAAUGGAUAUCGUCUCAAGCCAUUCAUGGAUCCAUUCAAACCAGAAAAGGAGGAAAUCAACCUCCUUGAGCCUCGAAAAGCCUAAGCAAAGAAGGGUUUGCUGGACGUGGUUUACCACAGUCCAAAAUUUUUGUAAAUUUUGUAAAUUUUCAAGUUUUUUUUCCAUACAUUUGAUCUUAGUUUUUGAUCUUAAAUCAUGUUUUUAGGUGUGUUUUAAUCUUUUUGAAUGAUCCCAGGUGGAAGAAAUUGCAAGGAAAUUGAAAGGAAAAGAAUCGGAUAAAAAACAGAGCAAAAACAGAGCAAAAAACAGAGCUCUGCGAGAUUUCGCAGCCUCUGCGAAAUCAGCACUAUGCUGCAAAACCAUUCCGCAACACUUUGGAGUUCUCUGCGAGAAUUUUCGCAGCUGCGAAGGCGAUUUUGGCACACGAGUGCCACUUUGCAGCACAGGAGCCCUCAUUUGGCAGCUGCGAAACGCAUUGCGAAGUGGUAAAGCCUGAUUUCGCACCAAAAGUCCCAUUCCGCAGGGUAUUUUGCAAUUGCGAAAGCGAUUUUGGCACACGUGUGCCACUUCGCAGCACAGUAACAUUAAUUUCGCAGCUGCGAAAUGCAUUGCGAAGUUGCUGCGAAAAUGACAUUUUGCUGCGAAAUUGGCAUUUUGCUGCGAAACUCAAACUGACCCUUAGUCUUCCCUUAUUCCUAUUUAUACCGGUCAUUUGAGUUGCGAAAAGGGUUUCAAAAUCAGAGCGCGCCAUUCUCGCAGACCGUCCAUCUCCUUCUUCAAGCCUCACCGCGCAAGCCUCCGGUCAUCUUCUCCGACCAUCCGUUCCGGCCAAACUUCGGUAAUCCGAAAUGGCGCGAACAAGAGGGGCUAAGUCUCCAUCUCCUUCGAGCCGCAAGAGAAGCUUGCGAAAGGAACCAGUUCCAGAUCCUAUCCCUGACCCUCCGCAGCCGAAAGCAAUUCCUCCUCCGGUGAAGCCCGCGCUGCCAAAGCCUCCGGUAAAGCCCGCGCCGCCAAAACCUCCGGCAAAACGAUACCUAACCAGGUCAGGGGGUCGGCCACUGCAAAAGAAACCCAGGGUGGAGAGCUUAGAACCCAUCGAUUUGACUGAGCAAUCUCCAGAGCCCUCGCCGGCUCCAACUCCAGUUCCCUCGCCAAUUCAGCCUCCGGUGCCAUCUCCGACGCCGCAAGCAAAAUCUCAGGAGACUCAAGCGCCACUUCCCGAGCCCCAAAUUCCAUCUGAAAUAGCUCCGGAAGAAGUAAUCAGGAGGCCGAUGCUGACCCAGCUCCCAAUUGAGGGAAAUUUGGAUUGUAGAACUCGGCCAUUCCACUCCGAGCUAGGCUUUGACAUAUCUACAUUCCAAUUGCAGCCGGAGCUUGCACAGUCAUUCAACCUUCUAAGAAGGUACCAUAUGGAGCAUCUGCUGACUCCGAGAGACUUUUUCUACCCAAGGGUGGCCAUGGAUUUCUAUCAAUCCAUGACAACCAACCAGGUCAGGGAUCCAACUUUAAUUCAUUUCACUAUUGAUGGGAGGCAUGGCAUAUUGGGAGCACGCCAUAUAGCUGAAGCCUUGCAAAUUCCCUAUGAGCCGACCCAAUUCGAUAAUUUUAGAGCUUGGACCAAUCCUACUGAGCUGGAGAUGGUGCGCACCCUAUCCAGAGGAGCUGCCAAUCGAUCAUAUCUGUUGAGGGGGGAGCUUCCUCCAAUCAUGUUUUUGAUUGAUGCAUUUUUGCGUCAUAACCUCUACCCAUUGCAGCAUUGGACUCAAAGAAGAGGAGUCCUCUUAGAAGCCCUGUACAAGAUGUCUGAAGGAUUUUUCUUUGGGCCUCAUCAUCUGAUUCUGGCAGCCCUUCUCUAUUUCGAAGAGAAGGUACACAAAAAGAAGCUUCAGAGAGCUGAUUGCAUUCCCCUCCUCAUUCCAAGGCUGCUAUGCCAAAUUCUGGAGCACUUGGGGUAUCCUUCUGAACCUCAAUUGGAGCGCAAACGCAUUUGCCGUGAGCUUUUCACUCUUAACAAAUGGAACAACAUGACAGCUUAUCGAGUUGACCAGCCUGAGCGCCCACAGCCAGCUGUAAGGAGAGCAUCCCCACGACACAUACCUGAGGGUAUAACAGUUGCUGCUCCUGCCAUUUGCAGAGCUCCACCAGCUGCUCCAGCUUCAUCUCAGCCAUCCACUUCAGCUGAGCCGAGGAUGGCCAUACCCAUUUCUGAAUAUCGAGAGUUGUGCCGUGCAUUGCAGACCCUCACAGCUUCUCAGAGCAGUCUUGCUCAAGAGAUGGCAGCCAUUAGAGCAUGCCAAGAGCAGAUGUUGGCCACUCAGGCUCAACAAGCUGCCAUCUUAAGGCAGCUCCAGCUUCAUUUCAACCUGCCACCAGCUGUUGAGCCCUCCACUUCUACUCCAGCAGAGCCACACUCUCAUCCCUCAGAGCCUCAAGCCCCAGCUGAAGCACCAACUGAAGAGGCAGAUCCAUCUGCCUAGCCCCAGCACCACCCACUCAUCAGAUCAUUAUAUAUAUAUCUACUAUCUUUGUUUUAUGUAUUUCGUUUUUUAGUUUGAAAGAAAUCCCAUUAUUUUGGUAUUAUAUUUGGGAUUGCUUGUAUUACUUUUCUUUUGCAUUGUACUUAAAUGGAUUCAAAGUAAUACAAGUUUAAUAUUUCUUGUUAACAGUUAGCAUUAAGUUAUCCUUAUUUCCUUUUCUCACAUAUUCUAUUCUUUUUGAAACAUGUGGUUUCUCCAAUUAGUAUGCGAAUUUGAUAUCACACAGGAGGUACCACUUCCUCCCUUUAAUUACAGUCACUCAUAUCACAUUGAGGACAAUGCUCAGUUCGGUUGGGGGGAAUGAGGAAGGAAGUUAUGCUAAAUUAAAGGAAGUAUGCUAAGCCUUUUUAGUAAUGCAAUUAUUUUGGUAAAUUAGUUGUAGUUUUUGUUUUUUACUCUUUUUACUCUAUUCUCCAUGAAUCUUGAGGAAAAAUUUUCAAAUUAAAACAGGAAAAAUUGAACUGUUGUUUUUCACUUGACUUAGAGUAUGGAUUAUGCUCACUAAAGUGGUUCAAUUGUUGAAGCUUCUAUUGAAAUUGAAUUUAGUUCUUCCACUUUAAGCUAUUCACACACUGUGCACAUUAGAUUCCGAUUAUAAGAUGAAAAACUAUUUCCCUCUUGACUUAGGAUAAUUUUGGGACUUGGUAUAUUUGACCUCAUUUGAUAAAAAUUGAAACACCCUGCAAAAGGCCAAUGAGCCUUUGAAAUAAAGAAAGUUGUUUGCUUGCCUUAAAACCCGAGCAAGGUCUGAGAGGUAUAUGGUGAAAAUCUUUGAAGCCUGGUGCCCUAAGCCUUAAUUGGUUGGGAGUCACCGACCUCAAUGCUCGUUACAAGGGUGAAUAGGUAGAGUAGCAUAUGGUAGGUGCUUGGGUAUUAAAAAUUCAUUCUCAAAAGUCCGGGGAAAAAUCCGAGGAGUUAGUGGUUGAAAGAUCCUUAAAGCUUGGUGCCCUAAACCUUAAUUGGUUGGGAGUCAUCGAUGGACCCCCAUUACAUGGACAAUACAGAAAGAGUACCCCAUAAGUUCUUUGUUAAAAAAAAAAAAAAAAAAAAAAAAGUGUGUUCUUUCUUUAUUGAUUUUGGUCAGUUUGCUAAGUGUUGAAAAGAGAUAGGUUGGGGGGAGAGAUUAGUUUAGCAUAUUAUUCUCGGAAGCUAAGGAACCAAUACACAUAGAUUUUUGAGGAAGAAUAAAGUUUGGUUCUUUGAAAGUGGAAAUGAUUUUAAAACUUCAGUUUGCAUAAUGCAUUCCCUUGUUUGACAGUGUUUAGCAUAGUUUGUUAUAACUCUUGUUGAAAUUUGCUUUUAUAUUUCUUUAAGGUUUCAUGAGAGAAUUAGAUCAUCAUGCCACUUGAGAAUUGUUUUUGAUCAGCAUGAUGUUGUAAAUUAUAGUUUAAUUUGUUGUUUAUUUUCAUUUUUCUCUCCUAUAUUGCUAAGGGACUAGCAAUAUGUCGGUUGGGGGGAGUGAUUACUACUCAAAAAGUGCUAUUUGAUAGCUUAUAAUUAAUCCUUUUAAACACUUUUGAGUAGUAGUUUUGGCCUUUUAACUCAAUUGGCAUGUUAAGGACCCUUGAAAACAAUUUUAAUCACUUUGUGUAAGUUUUGGUGUUUUUGUUAGUAUUUUGAUCACCAAAGCAAUUCAAGAUUGAGGAGAAUUUUGAGGAAUCUUGGGCAAAGCUUGGAAGUCAUUUGCCAAGAGUAAAUCCGAAGUGCAAGGAGAAAAAGUAAAGAGAAUCUGCCAUGAAGCAUAUUCUUGAUGACAGUCGUGGCAGCCACUUUUGGAGCACUUUCUGAAGUCCAAUUGAUGCAUGCUAUAUACCAUUUCAAAGCUCAGGAAGUCAAUAAUCUAAUGCUUCAAACGGUGCGCAAUUUGGAGUUGAAACGAAGAAGUUGCAGCCAUUGCAAGCCAAUCACUCCAAGCUGAAGGAAGCAUUUUCCAAAGUGUUGCGAAAUCACCCUUUUGUUGCGAAGUGAUUUCGCAGCAUUUUUGUACAGUAUGAUGUAUUUCCUCCUGAAGUUGCCCGAUAUAUGCCGCAAGCUGGAAGCUGAGAGCAUCAAGGUGGAAGCCAACUUCGCAGCCCUGCGAAGAUAGCAUGUUGUUGCGAAAUGAUUUCGCAGCCCUUCUUGAGUGUCUGCGAAAUCUCACAGACACCAUUUUCUCUUGCGGAAUGGUUCCUGGAGCAUCCCGAUAUUUGCUAUCGACAUUGGGAGAUAUUUUACAUCAGAUUUUUGUUGUCUAAAUCCCAAAAUACUCCUUGUAAGCCACCAAUUACAAGAUUCCUUAGCUUUUAAGUUAGUAAAAAGAGAAAAUAUCUAUGUAAUAAUUAGUUUUAUAUUAUGUUCAUAUAAAUACCUCUCGGGAGCCUGUUCUCAGAGAGAGCCUUUUGUAAAGUUUUGGGUAAGCAAGUAAAGUUCAGUUCUUUGUAUUACCUUACCUUCUCACUUUGUAUAUUUUAUUUUCUUACUAAGUUAUGAACUCUCUGAGGAGUUUUCCCCAGAGAAUGAGUAACUAAACCUCUAAUUCCUUGGAGCUAAGGUUGCCGGGGAAGGUUCCAAGUGCAAGAAUGCAAAGCUUUGUGGUUUUAGCUAGUAAUGAAGAGGAAGUGAAAUCCUUUAGUGAUUUCUAUGUUUUUAGUUAACUUAAAACACCUUAGAGUCAUCUGGGCCAACACUUGGUAAGGCAAGUGAUUUCCAACCAUGGAAAUGCACUAGUUUACCCCUUACGAGCCUCUGGAAGGUGACUUUAGGGUAGGAUUUUCUAGAAUAGCCAACACUUGGUAAGCUUUUGGACUCCAAGGAGACAUCCAUUAGUUAUCUCUUGCGAGCUUUUGAAGGGAAGUCCAAGGUUAAAGAUCAUCUUGAAUGGUAAGUGCUCGUGAGAGGCAUGAACCAUUGCAAGUUGUAUCAAUGAGAGAAUUAAAGUUGAAAUCCAAUUAAAGGAUGUAUCUGUACAACACCGGUUAGAGAAUUGACUAUAUGUUGAAUCUCUAACGCGAAGAAAGGAACCAUCUGACCGAAGCUAUGUCUUUUGCAUGAGGAACCACCCCAGUGAACCUAACUCUCCAAGGAAUGCUUUUCUUCCUAAGUUAUUCCGAGUACUUGUUAUGUUAGUUAGUUUAAAUCUUUACCAAUCAAAGUUUGUGUUUUAUUUCUUAAGCUAACCUUGAAAUGAAACAAGACCAAUUCACUUGGAAUUGGUAUCAUUGAUAGCUUGCUAAUCCUUCCCAGUGAACGAUCCUAGAGUCGCUAUACUAUAGUAACUUUUUCUUUGCUACCCUAGUAUAUGGUGUUAUAGGUUAUAAAUUUUGUUGAUUACUCCCUCUAUCAAGAAGCACCAGCUAGACACGAAUCAGCUGAGACACCAAUUGGGCACGAAUCAACAACUAACAACCUAUUAACUACUUAACAACUCUAACUAACAUCCAACCUCAAGCACAUAGGGUGAGAAAGAACUAUGAGCUUGCUCUAGAGAUGAAGGAAAUGCUGAGUGGAGAGAGCUUUGGUUAAGAUAUCAACAGCUUGGUCUCCAAAUGGAAGAAAUCAAACAUCAAAAGUUUUCUACGGGACUCAUUCUUAAACAAAAUGAUAAUUAAUUUCCACAUGUUUAGCCCGAGAAUGAAGGACAAGAAUUACAGCCAAAUAACAUGAACUAAAACAGGGGAACAAAGGGCUCUUUAAGAAAGGAUUGAAUCUAAGUGAGUACGACCGUUGCAUUGGCCAAGCCCCUAUACUCGGACUCGGUAUAAGAGUGUGAACCACCUUUUGUUUAGAAGCUGACUAAGAGACCAGAUUACCACAAAAAAAAAACAAAAAAAAAAAACAAAACACAGUAGCCACUAGUGCUACGUCUAUCAUUAGGGCAAGAUACCCAAUCGACAUUUGUAUAAGCAACAAGAUUGAGUGAGGAAGAUGGUUGGAAAAAAAAAACCCAUAAAACAACAAACCUUUGAGAUAACAAAUAACAUGCUUCAUAUCUUGAAAAUGAGUAGAGGUUGGAGCAUGCAUAAAUUGGUAAAUCUUAUUAACAGUAUAAGGAGUGUUUGGUCUAGUGAUUUUGCAAUACUGAAGGGCACCUACAAGACUCUAAUAGAAAGUGGGAUCCUCUAAUUUGGUACCAUCAACUAUGAAUAAAACAAGACCAGUAGCCAUUAAAGAAGCAACAAGCUUUGAUUCCAACAAAUCAACAUGCUGAAGAAGAUCACAAAUGUAUCUAUCUCGGCUUAAAUGCAAAGAAAAUCCAAAAUUGAGCACCUCUAUUCUAAGAAAGAAAUUGAGAGGACCAGAUUCUUGAGAGCAAAGCAAGAGUUUAAGGAAGAUAUAAGUUGUUCAAUGAGCAAGGAAUUUGAAUUAGUGACAAUAAUAUCAUCGAUAUAAACUAAGACAACAAGCAUGAUAGAAUUGUUAUGGUAACCAAACAUUGAUGUAUCUACUUAAGAUAUGGAAAAACCCCAUUUAAAUAAUGCAGAAUUCAGUUUCGUGAACCAAGCCCAUGGAGUUUGCUUCAAGCCAUACAAGGCCUUGGUAAGCUUACAAACAAAAUUGGGCUUAGAAGGAUCCACAAAACCCGGGGGUUGUAUCUAAAAACUUGCUCAAAUAAAUCACCAUUAUGAACAUCAAGUUGUUGGAUAGACCAAUUUCUACUCAAUGCCAAAGAGAGAACCACACUAAAGGUUUAACCACAAAACUAAAGGUUUCAAAGAAAUCAAAACUGUGAGUUUGAUGGAAUCCUUUCACCACUAAAUGUGCCUUAUAACAAUCAAUAGUUCCCUUAGGUUUAAACUUCAAUUUAUAAACCCACUAACAUCCAAUGGUAUUCUGAUUAGACGGAGGAGGAACCAUGACGUAUGUUUUAUUUUUCAUAAGAGCUUCAAAUUCAAGAUGCAUAGCCUAUUGCCAUUCAGGAACUUUAGCAGUUUCCUUAAAGGAAUCUAGUUCACAAAGUGGAGGAAAAAUAGUCUUAGUAGGAGACAAAUAUAACUUGAGUUCGAAAAUGCCAUUUUUGGCACGUAUUAUCAUGAGAUGACAAGGAGUAAGAACAUAAGAGGAAAGAGGUUGGGUUGUUGGAAUUGCUGUAACCUUAGAAAAGGAAAUUGACACACUAGAAUUAGAUAUUGGAACCAACUUUGAAGGUGGACAUAAUGGGGGAGGUAAGAGGGAAGGUAUUGGAGAUGAUGGUACUACCAAGGGAAUGACACAAUGAGAGGGGGAAACAGAAUAAGAAGUUUGAACUAUGGAAGACUUAGCAAAUCGGAAAUCUAGUUCAUAAAAAAUAACAUGUCGUGAUAUAUGUAUUUUAUGAUUGGACAUGUUUAAAUAAAGAUAUCCUUUAUGCUUAGAACUAUAGCCAAUAUUUUAACGGAUUGAUAUGCAAGUUUAUGACAAUUAAAAUGAUGUAGAAAAGGAUAACAAAUGUAGCCAUAGACAUGAAGAAAAUAAUAAUUUGGUAGACAAUGGUAAAGAGUCUUAUACGGAUCGAGAAGAGAUAUUCAACAUAGAGGUAGGAAGUCUAUUAAUCAAAUAUAAGGUAGAUUGGAAAACAAAAGGUCAAUAUUUAAGUGGAAUAGAAGCACGAGCAAGCAAAGAAAGACCUAUUUCAACCACAUGUCUAUGUUUUCUCUCCACAUGACCAUUUUGUUGAAAAGUAGAUGGACAAGAUAUUCUAUGCAGAAUCCUAAAUUUACAUAAAGUAUCAAUAAAGGCUUGAAACUCCCCUCCCUAAUCAGUUUGAAGCACUCUUAACUUUAGUGUCAAAUUGAGUCUCAGUUAUCACUUUAAAUUGCAAAAAAACAGAGAUAGCUUGAUUUUUAAAAGCUAGUAGAUACAACCCCAAGAAAAUCUUGUAUGGUCAAUUGGAAAAAAGUACAAAGUAUCUUGCAUCAUUAGCACCAACAAUAACGGUAGGACCCCAUAGAUCAAAAUGUAUAAGAGCAAAAGGCUAAGAGACUCUGGAUUUAGACAAAGUAAAAGGUAAGUGAUGACUCUUUGCCAUUUGACAAGGUUCACAAAUACCUAUCCAAUGUUCUGAGGGCAUACUACAAUCACUCAAAACUUUAUUCACUAUUUUACGUGCAAGAUGGCCUAAUUAAAAUGUCAUAGAGCUACCUUAUUGGGAAGUUGUAAUGCAAAUAACAUACACGGGACCUCAAUUGCCAAGCUUGUUCUUCUAACAAUUUUAUUACCUUUAGAAUCUAUAUUUUUUUUACCAGAAACUGAAGAUGACAAUUUGUAUAAACCAUGGUUAAGGUUGCCUUGGAGAAGAGCCUUCUUUGAAGCUUGAUCCUUCAUCACAAAUCCAUUAGUAAAGAAUUCCAUAGUAACAUUAUUGUUAGUACACAACCUAUUCACACUUAUCAAAUUGGUUGUAAGUUGUGGAACAUGUAGAAUAUUCUUUAGAUUUAAAGACUGAGAAACUGACAAAAUAGUAGAGUAUCCAAUAUUUGAGAUAUUUAAGCAACUACAGUUUCCAACGACAACUUUGUCCAAACCAGCAAAUGGAGUAUGUGCAUUCAAGUUCUUGAAAUUUAAAGUUAGGUGAUAUGUAGCUCUAGUAUCCAUGUACCAACUUCCAUCUGCAAUAGUGGCCAGAGUUGCAAUCAUUGCAGCAAGAUGAGGUUACUCAAUUCUUAGGGUUCUUUUUCCUCAUUGGUUUUUGACUCGGAUGAGUUAACUUAGUUCCUAGAGCUCUUCCUCAAUGACAAACAAUUUUGAUUAGAGUGUGGCAAGGAGUUCAAUGAGCAAGCUGGUGAUUGAUCAAGGCCUCACUAGUGAUGAGGACGUCGGUGAUAGCAACAAUCUAGUUGGAGAAACGAUUUUUUCCAACACCCUCAAACACCGCAAAAAUGAUCAUAUCGUCAUCAUGAUCUUAGAUAAGAGAAACUUAAAGUUUUGUUUAUUCCAAUUUCAAAUUGAAAACAAAAUUGUAGAGCACUAGAUACAAAAUAAAAAAAAAAUAAAAGAACGAAAAAUCACUAUAGAAACCUUAGAAAACACACUAGGAAGAAAAAUCAUAGACAAACUCACAGAAGAAUUUUAUGGCUUUAGGAGUUGGAGCCGGAGUUGGAGAAGAGUCUUAAUGGACAUUGAGGAAGGACAAGAAGAGGUGUUCAACUAUAAUUUAUGUAGGCUAUAUUGUAAAGGUUGGCUUUAAAAUGUAUCUAGUAGCGACCUAAUUAGGGUUCAAAGUAUCGGCCAAGUCUGAUACGACUCGGCCGAGUCAUAUCUGUCUCGACACUUGUCGCAACGAGACCGAUACCAGAUACAAUAUAAUGCAUGAACUCGACUGGGAAUCGGUUAGACUUUGCUAAGUUUUCGAGUUAACUCGGUUGACUCGGUUAGGUUAUAAAGAAUUUUCAAAUUUUUCAUAAAAUUGAAAAUAAUAAUAAUAAUAAAUCAGAGAUUGCCCUUUCAAAAGCAAACACCUAUUUUAAAAUUUUAAACCAUCAAUGAGAAGAUCAAAGAAGACCAAGAAGAAAAAACCUAACCUGUGACUCGUUCGGAAAUAAGUGGAGAAACCACCAAAGGAUGAGGGCAUAAUUUAGGAUUUACUUACUUGAUUUUCCUCAAAAUCGAGCAUUACCGAAGGGUGGAGCUUUGGUGUCGGCGAUGGUGACUCAUCAAGUGGAUUGAAUCUUUCACCGGGGACAUCAACAAGACAACCCCCUCAUAGUCAGAUUGCUCCCCCUCCCGUGUUAGGUCUUGCACGGUUGCAAAUUUGCGAUUGUAGGUGGUAUCGUCUAUUUUGGGUCUUGACAGUAAUGAUGACGUGCGAGGGUGGGAGAUUGGGAGCUUAAAUUAGUAAAGUAAAAAAUUGCAUUUUAUAUGGAUUUACAUGGAGAAUUGAGUCCCUGAUUUACAUGGAAAAUACCUUUCAUAUACACACUUUAAUAUGAUUUAAUAGUAACAUAUUAGGAGAAUUGAGUACCCGAUUUGCUAAAGUAAAAUGAUAUGAAAGGUAUAGAUGAAGUUUAAUGAUAAAUUAAAGUGUUUAUAUAGCAAAGUGAAAAUUAAAUCCUCAAUUUUUAAUAUUAUCACAAAAUAACUUUGAGCUAAAUGUGAAAAAAAAAUGGUUUUAUUAAAAUUUUCACCUUAUUUAAUUAUAUCUAUUUUAUUUUUUGAUUUAUAUAAUAUUUUUAUAAUUUUUUGAAAAUUUUAAUUAUCUUAUUUUACGUAUCGUCCAAUACCGAACCGAAACACUGAAACCAAUAUGCCUCGUGAUCCUCCGAGUCAAUGAUCGAUACCACGACUUUGAACCAUGGACCCAAUGGAAGUGGAGUCUAUAGGAACAUCUAUGGUAACGAUCCAAAAAUUAUUGCAGGCAUAAGAGAAUAUAUAAUAGCACUUUCAACAGUAAUCAUGACUAUGUAUCUUUCCUGGAAAUUUCCCACCAAUCCCAAUCCCAACCCCUUUAGAUGCAUGUGGUUGGAAUAUGCAUGAAGCUAUAUAUUACGUGGUUGGGAUAUGAAUGAGGCUAUAUACUAUUUUUAGUUGUGGAUUUUCUUAGCCCCUACUAAAACUAUGUCGCCAUUUCCUAUUCUUCUUGUAAUGUCAAGUUGGAAAGUUAAAUUUAAUUUAAAAACUUUCUAAAUAUUAAAUUUAGAGUUAGUUUCUAAAUGUUAAGGAGAACAUUUUAUUUUGAAUGAUUAUUUAGUUUUUGUAUUUGAGUAUUCAAGUCCUGAAAGGUCUCUAUAUUUCAUUAUUAAGAUUUUCUAUUUAGACAAAUGUGAGUAUAUUUAUAAACAAAAAAUUAUAUAAUAUAUACAUUUUUUAUAAAAAAAAAAAGCAAUAAAAUACAAUAAAAUUUUAAUUCUCUCCUAUUUUUAUCUUUUUUAUAAGUGUGUGUUUAUCUUUCAUCUAGAUAACUCACACAAUACUAACACAAUGAGAGUAAAAGGAGAAGGGCAAUAAAGAGUUGGGGCCGGAGAUCAUUGGAGGAACGGGUCAACUGUAGGCCGGUUGUCAAUGGGCUCAUAUAAGUAACAAAAAUUGGAAAUGGUUUCUAUAUCUUAGUGUCGUGUCUAGAAGACGACAAUCUACCUGUCAGUGUGCAGCAGAAGAGAAAGCGUGAUAUCUACUUAGAGUCAAAACAAAGGGAACCAGCUCGCAAUUCCUCCGAUACAUCAUUACCGACGUCAUAGCUCUAUUCCCCCAAUUCGUCACUACCAACGUCAUUCUAUCUCCAUUACGCAUUAUUUAAAGAGUCCCCAUGCAGAAGCUGUUCGAAACACAAGUCAGCUUUGACACAACCCCACUUCAUUGUGAUAACCUAUCCGGCACAGGUCCCUGUCCAAAGACCCAUCUUACUCUUUACAUUGUGGCCACUGAUUUGGUAUCUAAUCUCAGGCAAAAUUCACUGGUUUGAUGAAGGUUAUAGAACAAAACUUGUGUUAUUCUUAUCUUUGGUUUUGAUGAACUUUAAAGCAUUUAAAAAGAUUCAACUGGUAAGAAGUAUUUUUGCCUUGGGAAGAUGUUGGUUAUGGAUUAAAAGCAAAAAAGACCCUUGUACAUAUUUUUGGGUACCUGUCAAGCAAAUUAAUGCACAUCCGAACAUCACAACUGUUGUCUCUUAAAUUCUUCCAAUUGACCUGCUUUCGUCUUAUUGAGCGUCUGGGUUACUUGAUAAUGCAAAAACUCAUACAGUUAUUUCGAUAAAUUAAGAGCCUCGGGCAUCAAGGAAAAUCUAUUAUUACUUAAUCGAUAAAUUAAUAAUUUAUUAAUUUAAUUGCUUAUUAAUGAGAUCUCUUGAAUAAUUCUAUUAUGGAACAAGACACCAUAACAAUAUUAAAUAAAUUUUUGUCAUAGUAUGAGAAUACCACACUAGAUGUAAUAUGAGAAUGUCAUAUUUAAUUAGGGCCUUGGCUUAAAAUAAGUAAAUAAAUAAUUAAUAAUUAAAAUAUAAAUACUAGACUCACAUUUUAAACAAACACUUCUAAACUCUCAGACUCUACAAAGAACAUACACAAAGAAAUCUAGGUUCCAGAUUUGAGUGAAGAGAAAGAGAAUUUGAUUUUUUUUGUUCUUUUGUGAAAAUUUCAUGGUAAGUGAUACUUCUUAAAGUUUUCUUUUUUUUUUUUUAUAGUUUUUCUUCUUAGAAACUUUAAUUUCCUAAUAAGAUUAAAAAAGAAUUAAUGAAAACAAGAAAUUAAGAAAAUAAAUUGAAAGUAGUUAAAUCUAGAAUGAUAGAAUAAUAAUAAUAAUAAUAAUAAAAACAAUAGAAAGUUUGAUGUGUUAUUGCCGAAACCUAGAGGAAAAUUCUAUAUGAAAUAGUGGAGUUUAUGUUUUUUUUUUAAUAUAUAUAUAUAUAUAUAUAUAGGAUUUUUGGGAGAAAUAGGUAUCCAUGUAAAUAGAAAUUCUUAUGUGUAGGAGAUAAUAAUUGUAUUAAAAAAAAAUUAAUAGACUAAAACCUGGAGAUUGGUAUUCAUACAGUAAGAUUCCAAGUAUAUAGAAAGUAGAAUUACAUGGAACCUAAAAUUUGGUGCACAAUGUGAUUCUUUAUUUAAAACAAAUAGAAUUUAGUGCAUAGUAGGAUUCCUUGUUCAAAUGAAAUAGAAUUUGUUGGGAGAUACAUGGACUAAUAUUAAUUGUGAAGUUAAGAUGUAUUGUGUAUUGGUGUGAUACUGGAAGUGCAUGAGACAAACUUUUGGAGUGUUGGUAUAGGAAAUAAAGUUUUUUUAAAAAAAACUAAUCUAAUAUAAAAAUAUUGGAGGCCUCGAAUUUUAUUAUGUUAGGAUUCCAUAAUGAAUUAAAUUAAAUCAAAUUAAAUUAAUGUAAUUUAGAUUAGAUUAAUUAUAAGUGAGGGAAUUGAAAAGUUCAAGACAAUAAUUUCAAGACAAUUAAGAAAUGGAAAUUUGAUGUUUUUCCUAGAUAAAUGAAUAAUUUAUAUAUGUGUUACAAAACUAUACAUAUUUAGAAUAUAAUUAUUAUUAGAACAUUUGUUUAAAGAACCCUUAGAAUUUCUCAGGUAAUUCUUAGGAAAUUCUACUGCUUUAAUAUUUGGAGUUUGAGUCCAAUUAAGGGGACUAACUAAAUUUUUUUUUUUAUUUUAUAAAUAGUCAAAUAUAAUUUUCUUUUGAAAGUUUUAAGAAAUUGGAAAAUAAUUUUGUUAUAUUGUAUAUGUUUGCUUACACGUGUGAUAUGAAUUUUUUUGUUUAAAAGAAAAAAAAAAUUAGGACUAGUAAUCUAAUCCUUGUUAAUAAAGGAAAGUGUUUUGACUUUCAUUACCUUUGGUGAAGGUAAUGAUAAUUUGUAAACCCAAUCAUUAGAUUUGUCCUGGCUCCGCCCACCAUCAUGUAAGGAACACAUGAGGUUAGCUAUUUCUAUUAGUCUCAUUACAAUGGGCACCUCUCUAAGUCCAAAUUUUGAUGGGCAUUUUCUGUAAAAAGUUAGAAUUGUUCAUUUAAUAUGUUUGCAAAAUAAUGUUAUGCUUAAAUUAUUUUAAAAAUGACACAUGUAAUAUUAGUUGUUUUGUUGUGUUUAAAAGCAUGCUAUAAAGAUUCCUUAUUUCAUUUUUGGAAACACGCAUACUUGAUUUUCAUACCCCUCAUCGGACUUUAAACUCACUCCUUUUACUAAAAUGUUUUUAGAUAUACAUCUAAUUCUAGCAAUGAGUGAUUCGAGUAAGAGGGUUUUUCAUAGAUCCAUUUAGUUCUUAGUUUUAAGUUUAAUGUCAUAAUAACAUUUUGUUAUUAUAGUUUAAUUUAUCAUUACUAUUUUAGAUAAUAUGUUAUAUUUGAAUUAUAGAUUUCGUGCGAAAGAAUAAUUUUUUAUUAUUUCUUUGAAGAUAUAUGAUCAUUUUGAAAGUUUGCUUCUAAAAUGACCUUGGUGUUUAGCUUACGGGUCAGUAUCGUUAUACUAGACCUUCUAUUUGUAUUAUGAAACUACAUAGAUUUUUCCAUAAUAUAUUAUAUUAUAAAUUUAUCAAAUUAUUAGUUUAGCAUGAUGGCCCUAGGUUCAUAUUGAUUAAAAAAUUAUUUAAUUGAGGUUCUCUAUUAAUUAAAUAUUAAUUUAAUUGUCAGAUACUCUUAUUAUUAUUAUUUUUUAUAAAAUAUUCAAAAAUAUUCUUUGUUAUAUCUUUAACUUAAAAAUAUUUUAAAAAAAACAAGAAUAAAAAAACAUCACCAAACAAGCCCUUAUUUAUUUGUUUGUUUUUUAUGUUUUGUUUGCUAUUGUGGUUUUGUUUAGUUGUCAAGAAGUGUGAGACAGUUGAAGAAAUUGAAGUUUUUUUUUUAUAUAUAUAUUUUUUUAAUAGUAUAGGCAAAAAUUCCAAAGGUUUGAAUUGCUUCAAUUUGUUUGUUUGACUUAUGAGAAAAGGUGGGACAAAUACUUCAAUGAGUUUAUAAUCAUCAGUAGUUAACUUACUUCUCUAUCGAAAUGGUUUAAUCAUUCACACUUAAAUUAAAAGCUGGAUUAUCAAAUCCAUUUCCCUUCAUGGAAACUAGUAACUUGAUCCAUCUACUGGUCAUUUAUGGCUUGAGGUCUUGUGCCAUGCACUCUUAAGUUGAUUUCUAGCUAGAAGUCGUAGUGGUAGGGUAUUCAGGAAUCCUUGUCAUAAAAUGUUGUAAAAUUUAUUUUGUGCAAAUUGUUAAGCUACAACUCAAACCAAGGAGUUAUAUACCAUCUAGAUUGCUUGGAUGAAGAAUAUAGACCAAAUCUAUGUAUGUAUGAUAGUUGUUAAUAGGUAGCAAUAGUGGAGUUAAGCUUCAUAGGAUACUGUUUACUGAUAAAGUUUACAUCUUAUAUAGGAUGGAACGAGUUUUUGAACUUUUGUUAACAUAGAAAAACUAAUUGGGUUAGAAUUCUGGCAUAGGUUUUUGCUAUGGUGAAUCAAACAUUCGGGGGACAUCUACCUAUGACACUCCCAAGACAACUAAUUAGUUCUUCACUAGAAUGAGAUGAUCGAUCUCUAUUUGAGCAAUUGGUUAGAUUAAUCCGAUAACUUUUUUUUUAAUUCUCCCAAUAAGAAAACCUUUCUUAAUUAUUCCAACAUGAGAAAUUUUUUUUCUACCUAUGGUUUUUUCAAUGACUAAAUAUAUUUAUUCCUUAGUAUCUAGUACUUUAAGAAAAACAAAAGUUAAAUUGAUUUUAUCAAAAUCUAAAACUUAAUUAAGUCAGAUAAUUAAAAUAUAAUUAAUUGAAAGUUAUCUUAAGCACAUUAAAUUUUACCUCUUACCACCUAAAAUGAUUUCAAAUUUUAUAGUUGUGAUAGAUCCAAGUUGUCCGAAAAGGUCUAUAGAAUAUGCAUUCUUUUACUUAUAAACAAUGUCUUAAAUAGUCGAGGUAGAGUUAUAUAGGGUCAUGGAUUUCUUAUUUUAUUCGAUGUGGGAAAUCAUAAUACACACUUAUCUCCUGUGAAGAGGGACCGUAACCAGGUUGGCUCAUAUAAAAUAACUAAAUUGGAAAUUGGUCUCUAGAUCUUAACUUUGGGUCGCGUCUAGAGGACGACAAACUACCGGUCAGUGUACAGCAGAAGAGAAAGUGAGACAGGAUACUUAUACAUCUCUUGAAAUUAAUUAGUCUUUGAGUCAAAACAAAGAGGAAGCAGCUCACAAUUCCUCCAAAACAUCAUUGCAAACGUCAUAGCUCUGUUUCCCCAAAUUCGUCAUUACAAACGUCAUUCCAUACUCUGCCUUCCUUAUUUAAAGAGUCCCAUGCAGAUGCAGAUGCAGUUCGAUACACAAGUCAGAUUUGAUCAUCCUCUACAUAGACCCAACCGAAGUAUCUCCACUUCAUCUUCUUCCCCUACAAUGACACAACCCCACUUCAUUGUGAUAACCUAUCCCGCACAAGGCCACAUCAACCCUUCUCUCCAACUGGCUAAGCGCCUCAUACGUGCUGGUGCCCAUGUCACAUUCGUCACUAGCACCUAUGCCAGUGAGCGCAUGACCAAAACCCCCACCAUGGAUGGUUUAAAAUUUGUCACAUUCCCGGACGGCUGCGACAGUGGCCUCAAGCAAAGCGAUGCCCUCCAAGGCUUCAUGUCUGAGCUUGAGCGUCUUGGCUCCCAAGCUCUUACCGACCUCCUCAUAGCCAGCGCUAAUGAAGGUCGUCCCGUUACUUGCAUAAUCUACGGCAUCCUGAUUCCUUGGGUAGCAGAGGUGGCGCAUAGUCUUCACAUCCCCUCCGCACUUUUUUGGAGUCAACCUGUCUCUGUUUUUAAUAUCUAUUAUUAUUAUUUUUGUGGCUAUGGAGAGGUCAUUCGCAAGAAAGUCAGUGACUCCUCGCCUUCCAUUGAAUUACCAGGACUGCCCUUGCUCGGUAGCCGUGACAUUCCCUGUUUCCUACUCCCCUCAAAUGCAAAUGAAUACAACUUUGUCCUUUCAGCGUUUCAGAAGCACGUAGAGAUGCUCCACCGUGACACCAACCCAACGGUACUGAUAAACACUUUCGAUGCAUUGGAACCAGAGGCCCUAAGGGCCGUCAGUAAGUUUAAGUCGAUUGGAGUUGGACCCUUGUUUCCAACCGCUUUCUUGGGUGGAAAAGAUCCAUCCGAUACUUCAUUUGGAGGUGAUCUGUUCCGUCGUUCAAAGGAUUAUAUUGAAUGGCUGAACUCAAAGCCUGAAUCUUCUGUCAUUUAUGUGUCAUUUGGAAGCCUCGCGGUGUUAUCGAAGCAACAGUCAGAGGAGAUUGCUCGUGGAUUGCUGGACAGUGGCCGGCCUUUCCUGUGGGUCAUAAGAGCCAAGGAGAAGGGAGAAGAGGAGAAAGAAGAAGAUAAACUAAGUUGCUACGCAGAAUUAGAACAACAAGGUAUGAUAGUACCAUGGUGUUCUCAGGUUGAGGUUCUCUCAAAUCCAUCACUGGGUUGUUUCGUGACUCAUUGUGGGUGGAAUUCAACCUUGGAGAGCUUGGCUUCUGGGGUGCCAGUUGUGGCAUUUCCUCAGUGGACCGACCAAUCCACGAAUGCAAAGCUAGCCGAAGACGUGUGGAAAACGGGUGUACGGGUGACCGUGAACCAAGAAGGAAUAGUUGAAAGCGAUGAGAUUAAGAGGUGCUUGGAAUUGGUCAUGGGAGAUGGAGAGGAGGCGAAAGAAAUGAGAAGGAAUGCAAAGAAAUGGAAGGGUUUGGCAAGGGAGGCUGUGAUGGAAGGUGGAUCAUCUGACAAGAAUCUUAAGAAUUUUAUGGAUGAGGUCAUACAAGGUUACUAGCUAGAUAUUGUGGUUGUAUCUCUUGGAGUUUAUGUUAAGACUCCCCGAUUAAUUUAAAUAUUUUACAAGAAGAUUUUUAUUAUUUAUGAUGUUAAUACAAGUAGUAGUAUUAAUUAAUGGUAGAGGGCAUAUCUAAAAUUAUGGGAGAUUCAUUGCUUCCUGAAGGCCCUAUCACAAAGGAUCUGUCAAAUGCGUGGCUAAGGUGCUGUUUGGUAAAUGUCCGUUACCAGCCAAAAUUUUGCAAUUAUUGCUAAUGGGAAUCAGGGAAACCCCAAACUGGCCUUGAUGGUCCUUGCGUGAAGACCCAUCCAAUUCUUUACAUUGUGGCCACUGAUUUGGUGUCUUAUCCUCUCAUGCCCAUCACUUCAUGUUUACAAAUUGAUAUUGUAUUCAUAGCUAUUUUUUAUGAAGGUUCAAUUGGCAAGAAGUAUUUUUGCCUUGGGAAGAUGUUGGUUAUGGAUUUAAAGCAAAAUAAAAGAUUAAAAAAAUGAUCCUUGUACAAAUUUUUGGGUGCCUCUAUUAAUUAAGUGAAUAUUAUUAUUUAAUUGAUAAAUUAAUAAUUUAUUAAUUUAAUUACUUAUUAAUUAGAUCUCUGGAAUAAUUCUAUUAUGGAACCUAUCUUGCACUAAGAAGCAUCCAUAGCGAUAAUAAUAUUAAAUAAAUUUUUGUUAUAGUACAAGAAUGUUACAUCAGACCUUUUUUUUUUUUUUUUUCAUAUUAGGAAUAGUUAAAGAUGAGAUUUAAGUAAACAUAAGUUUUAAGAAAAAAUAACACAUAUAUUUUACGAAGGAUUCUUGAUAAAACAUAUGAAUUUAAUUAUAUAUUAGAAAAUUAUUAAUUUUUAUAAUAUGUGGAUUUUAUAUGAAACUACAUAGAUUUUUUUUAUAAUGUAUUAUUUUAUAAAUUUAUCAAAUUAUUAGUUUAGCACGAUGACCCCAAAUUUAGAUUAAUUAAAAAAAUAUUUAAUUGAAGUUCUUAAUUAAUUAAAUAUUAAUUUAUUAUAAAGUUUUAUUGUAUUUUAUUUUCAUGUUCUGAAAACUAGUCGAUUUGAUUGGUUUGAGCAUUGAUUGACUAUGUAUUUUACAUAUGAGAUCGAUUAUGAGUUGCACUUUCAUCCCAAGGUAUUUAAAAAUUAGGAAAAUCAAUCCCAAGGUAUCUAUUUUACUUUUCUUAGUCUAUUCACCAUUGUCCAAACACUCCAUAAGUGGAAUGUAACUUGGAGGGGCUUGAAUAUGCAGAAUUUUAUAAUUUUGCACAUUAAUGUCUCAGAGUGUUAAAAUCUUUUACAACUAAUUGUAGAUAAGUUUAGUAUUGACAAAUAAUUUUAUUACAAUUAAAUUAUUUUUUAAUUUAUAAAAAGGUUAAAAUAAAGAUAUUUAAGAAAUAUAGUACCUUAACAAUUAAAAAUAACAUUGGUUGAUGAUAUCUAAGAAAUUCAAUGUUUUCUUCAACCUAAAAUGAAUAUAAAAAUUUGGUAUGAGGAUUGUUUGCUCGACUAUUGAAACUUAUUGACAACAUAGGAAGAGACAAAACUUUUGGGGAUAUAUUAAUAGAGUGAGGAAUUUGGUACUUGAUUCAUAGAGUAAAAGUUGAACAAAAGCAUCAAGAAACAUCGGGGUUGGAAAUGAUAGUGCACUUUUUAAAAGUCAUAGGUGGAAAGAGGGAAAAUUAGAACAGAUGAACCUUAAUUUUUUGGUAUUUUUGAUAGGUGUUUAGUAAAAUAAUUUAAUAUUACAAUUUAUAGUUAAAAAUGACUUAGUAUAUAAGCAGUUAAAAUGAUUUAGGGCUUGUUUGACCGUGUUUUUUAAAAUUUUCUUUUAAAAUAGAGAAUAAAAAUAGUGAACAUCAAGUUGUUGGAUGGACCAAUUUCUACUCAAUGCCAAAGACAGAACCACACGAAUAGUAGUUAGUUUAACCACAAAACUAAAGGUUUCAAGGAAAUCAAAACCGUGAGUUUGAUGAAAUCCUUUCACCGCUAAAUGUGCCUUAUAACAAUCAAUAGUUCCAUUAGGUUUAAACUUCAAUUUAUAAACCCAGUAACAUCUAAUGGUAUUCUGAUUAGACCAAGGAAGAAUGAUGACCUAUGUUUUAUUUUUCAUAAGAGCUUCAAAUUCAAGAUGCAUAGCCUAUUGCCAUUUAGGAACUUUAGCAAUUUCCUUAAAGGAAUUCAGUUCACAAAGUGGGGGAAAAAUAGUCUUAGUAGGAGACAAAAAUAACUUGAGUUCGAAAAUGCCAUUUUUGGCACGCAUUAUCAUGAGAUGACAAGUAUAGUAUGAACAUAAGAGGAAAGAGGUUGGGUUGUUGGAAUAGGUAUAACCUUAGAAAAGGAAAUUGGCACACUAGAAUUAGAUAUUGGAACCAACUUUGAAGGUGGACAUAAUGGGGGAGGUAAGAGGGAAGAUAUUGGAGAUGAUGGUACUACCAAGGGAAUGACACAAUGAGAGAGGGAAACAUAAUAAGGAGUCUGAACUAUGGAAGACUUAGCAAAUGGGAAAUCUAGUUCAUAAAAAAUAACAUGUUGUGAUAUAUGUAUUUUAUGAUUGGACAUGUUUAAAUAAAGAUAUUCUUUAUGCUUAGAACUAUAGUUGAUAUUUUAACGGAUUGAUAUGCAAGUUUAUGACAAUUAAAAGGAUGUAGAAAAGGAUAACAAAUGCAACCAUAGACAUGAAGAUAAUAAUAAUUUGGUAGACAAUGGUAAAGAGUCUUAUACGGAUCAAGAAGAGAUAUUCAACAUAGAGGUAGGAAGUCUAUUAAUCAAAUAUAAGGUAGAUUGGAAAGCAAAAGGUCAAUAUUUAAGUGGAAUAGAAGCAUGAGCAAGCAAAGAAAGACAUAUUUCAACCACAUGUCUAUGUUUUCUCUCCACAUGACCGUUUUGUUGAAAAGUAGAUGGACAAGAUACUCUAUGCAGAAUCCUAAAUUUACAUAAAGUAUCAAUAAAGGCUUGAAACUCCCCUCCCUAAUUAGUUUGAAGCACUCUAACUUUAGUGUAAAAUUGAGUCUCAAUUAUCACUUUAAAUUGCAAAAAAGCAGAGAUAGCUUGAUUUUUAGAAGCUAGUAGAUACAACCCCAAGAAAAUCUUGUAUGGUCAAUAAGAAAAAAGUACAAAGUAUCUUGCUCCAUUAGCACCAACAAUAGCGGUAGGACCCCAUAGAUCAAAAUGUAUAAGAGCAAAAGGCUAAGAGACUCUAGAUUUAGACAAAGUAAAAGGUAAGUGAUGACUCUUUGCCAUUUGACAAGGUUCACAAAUACCUAUCCAAUGUUUUGAGGGCAUACUAUAAGCACUCAAAACUUUAUUGACUAUUUUACGUGCAAGAUGACCUAAUUAAAAUGCCAUAGAACUACCUUAUUGGGAAGUUGUAAUGCAAAUAACAUACACAGGACCUCAAUUGCCAAGCUUGUUCUUCUAACAAUUUUAUUACAAUUGGAAUCUAUAUUUUUUACCAGAAGCUGAAGAUGACAAUUUGUAUAAACCAUGGUUAAGGUUGCCUUGGAGAAGAGCCUUCUUUGAAGCUUGAUCCUUCAUCACAAAUCCAUUAGUAAAGAAUUCCACAGUAACAUUAUUGUCAGUACACAACUUAUUCACACUUAUCAGAUUGGUUGUAAGUUGUGGAACAUGUAAAAUAUUCUUUAGAUUUAAAGACUGAGAAACCGACAAAAUAGUAGAGUAUCCAAUAUUUGAGAUAUUUAAGCAAUUACCGUUUCCAAUGACGACUUUGUCCAAACUAGCAAAUGGAGUAUGUGCAUUCAAGUUGUUGAAAUUUAGAGUUAGGUGAUAUGUAGCUCUAGUAUCCAUGUACCAACUUCCAUCUCCAAUAGUGGCCAGAGUUGCAAUCAUUGCAGCAAGAUGAGGUUACUCAAUUCUUAGGGUUCUUCUUUCUCAUUGGUUUUUGACUCAGAUGAGUUAACUUAGUUCCUAGAGCUCUUCCUCAAUGACAAACAAUUCUGAUUAGAGUGUGGCAAUGAGUUCAAUGAGCAAGCUGGUGAUUGGUCAAGGCCUCACCAGUGAUGAGGAUGUUGGUGAUAGCAACAAUCUAGUUGGAGAAAUGAUUUUUUCCAACACCUUCAAACACCGUAAAAAUGAUCAUAUCAUCAUCAUGAUCUUAGAUAAGAGAAACUUAAAGUUUUUUUUUUUAUUUCAAUUUCAAAUUCAAAACAAAAUUGCAGAGCACUAGAUACAAAAAAAAGAAAAAAGAAAAUAAAAGAACAAAAAAUCACUAUAGAAACCUUAGAAAACACACUAGGAAGAAAAAUCAUAGACAAACUCACAGAAGAAUUUUAUGGCUUUAGGAGUCGGAGCCGGAGCUAGAGAAGAGUCUUAAUGGACAUUGAGGAGGGACAAGAAGAGGUGUUCAACUAUAAUUUAUAUAGGCUAUAUAUAUUGUAAAUGUUGGCUUUAAAAUGUAUCUGGUAGUGACCCAAUGGAAGUGGAGUCUAUAGGAACAUCUAUGGUAGCGAUCCAAAAAUUAUUGCAGUUAUAGGAGAAUAUAUAAUAGCACUUUCAACAGUAAUCGUGACUAUGUAUAUUUCCUGGAAAAUUUCCCACCAAUCCCAAUCUCAAUCCCUUUAGAUGCAUGUGGUUGGAAUAUGCAUGAGGCCAUAUAUUAUGCGGUUGGGAUAUGAAUGAGGCUAUAUAAUAUUUUUAGUUGUGGAUUUUCUUAGCCCCUACUAAAACUAUAUUGCCAUUUCCUAUUCUUCUUGUAAUGUCAAGUUGGAAAGUCAAACUUAAUUUAAAAACUUUUUAAAUAUUAAACUUAGAGUUAGAGUUAGGUGGUGUUUGUUUUUUUUUUUUGUUGAAAACAAUUUGUUUUCAGAAUUUAAGUCGUUUGUUUUUCUAUUUUUUCAUGACUUAUUAUAUACUUUUUACCAAACAGAAAAAACCAAAAUAUGUAGUUUUUUCUAAAUAGAAAAAAUAAUAUGUUCAUUUUUUUUACUUUUUAAUACUUAAUAGAAAUAAAAUACUACAAAAACAAACAACCUAAUAUUUAACAUUAUUAAGUAUUAAGGUUCUAUUUAGAAUUAAAUAAAAAAAAAUAAAUGCCACAUUAGUUUCUAAAUGUUAAGGAGAACAUUUUAUUUUGAAUGAUUAUUUAGUGUUUGUAUUUGAGUAGUUAAGUCGUCAAAGGUCUCUGUAUUUGAUUAUUAAGAGUUUCUAUUUGGAUAAAUGUGAGUAUAUUUAUAAACAAAAAUUCAUAUAUAUAAUAUAUAUAUAUAUAUUUUAAAAAAGCAAUAGAAUACAAUAAAUUUUUAAUUCUCUCCUAUUUUAUCUUUUUUAUAAGUGUGUGUUUCUCUUUCAUCUAGACAACUCACACAAUACUAACACAAUGAGAGUAAAAGGAGAAGGGCAACAAAGAGUUGGAGCCGGAGAUCAUUGGAGGAACGGGUCAACUGUAGGCCGGUUGUCCAUGGGCUCAUAUAAGUAACAAAAAUUGGAAAUGGUUUCUAUAUCUUAGUGUCGUCUAGAAGACGACAAUCUACCUGUCAGUGUGCAGCAGAAGAGAAAGCGUGAUAUCUACUUCGAGUCAAAACAAAAGGGAACCAGCUCGCAAUUCCUCCGAUACAUCAUUACCGACGUCAUAGCUCUAUUCCCCCAAUUCGUCACUACCAACUUCAUUCUAUCUCCAUUACGCAUUAUUUAAAGAGUCCCCAUGCAGAUGCUGUUCGAAACACAAGUCAGCUUUGACACAACCCCACGUCAUUGUGAUAACCCAUCCGGCACAGGUCCCUGUCCAAAGACCCAUCUUACUCUUUACAUUGUGGCCACUGAUUUAGUAUCUAAUCUCAGGCAAAAUUCACUGGUUUGAUGAAGGUUAUAGAACAAAACUUGUGUUAUUCUUAUCUUUGUUUUUGAUGAACUUUAAAGCAUUUAAAAAGAUUCAACUGGUAAGAAGUAUUUUUGCCUUGGGAAGAUGUUGGUUAUGGAUUAAAAGCAAAAAAGACCCUUGUACAUAUUUUUGGGUACCUGUCAAGCAAAUUAAUGCACAUCCGAACAUCACAACUGUUGUCUCUUAAAUUCUUCCAAUUGACCUGCUUUCGUCUUAUUGAGCGUCUGGGUUACUUGAUAAUGCAAAAACUCAUACAGUUAUUUCGAUAAAUUAAGAGCCUCAGGCAUCAAGGAAAAUCUAUUAUUACUUAAUCGAUAAAUUAAUAAUUUAUUAAUUUAAUUGCUUAUUAAUGAGAUCUCUUGAAUAAUUCUAUUAUGGAACAAGACACCAUAACAAUAUUAAAUAAAUUUUUGUCACAGUGUAAGAAUGCCGCAAUAGAUGUAAUAUGAGAAUGUGAUAUUUAAUUAUGGGCCUCCGCUUAAAAUAAGUAAAUAAAUAAUUAAUAAUUAAAAUUUAAAUAAAAUAAAUAAUUAAUUAAUAAUUAAAAUACAAAUACUAGACUCACAUUCUGAGCAGCCGCUUCUAAACUCUUAUACGCUACAAAAAAACAUACACAAAGAAAUCUAGGAUUCUAGAUUUAAGUGAAGAGAAAGAGGAUUUGAUCUUUUUGUUCUUUCUCGAAAAUUUCAUGGUAAGUGAUACUUCUUAAAGAUUUUUUUUUUCAGUUUUUCUUCUUAGAAACUUUAAUUUCCUAAUAAGAUUCAGAAAUAAUUAAUAAAAACAAGAAAUUAAGAAAUACAUUGAAAGUAAUUAAAUCUAAUAUGAUAGAAACCUAAUAAUAAUAAUAAAAAUAAUAGAAAGUUUGAUGUAUUAUUUCUGAUACCUAAAGGAAAAUUCUAUAUGAAAUUGUGGAGUUAAUGUUUUUUUUUUUAAAUAUAUAAUAAUAACAAAAAACAAUAGAAAGUUUGAUGUGUUAUUGCGUAAACCUAGAAGAAAAUUCUAUAUGAAAUAGUGGAGUUAAUGUUUUUAAAAUAUAUAUAUAUAUAUAUACUAGAAAUUCUUAUGUGUAGGAGAUAAGAAUUCUAUUGGAGGCCUCCAAUUUUAUUAUGUUAGGAUUCCAUAAUGAAUUAAAUUAAAUUAAAUUAAUAUAAUUUAGAUUAGAUUAAUUAUAACUGUGGGAAUUGAAAAGCUUAGGAUGACAAUUAAGAAAUGGAAAUAUGAUAUUUUUUCUAGAUAAAUGAAUAAUUUAUAUAUAUGUUAAAAAACUAUAUAUAUUUAGAAUAUAAUUAUUAUUAGAACAUUAGUUUAAAGAACCCUUAUAAUUUCUCAGGUAAUUCAAAGGAAAUUCUACCGCUUUAAUAUUUGGAGUUUAAGUCCAAUUAAGGGGACAAAUUAAAAAAUAUUUAAGUAUAAUUUUCUUUUGAAAGUUUCAAGAAAUUGGGAAAUAAUUUUGUUAUAAGGUAUAUGUUUGCUUAGAUGUGUGAUAUGAAUUUUUUUUUGUUUAAAAGAAAAAAAAAAUAGGACUAGUAAUCUAAUCCCUGUUAAUAAAGGAAAGUGUUUUGACUUUGGGUCAUAUAAAGUAACUAAAUUGGAAAAUGGUCUCUAGAUCUUAACUUUGGGUCGCGACUAGAAGACGACAAACUACCGGUCAGUGUACAGCAGAAGAUAAAGUGAGACAGGAUACUUAUACAUCUCUUGAAAUUAAUUUGUCUUUGGUCAAAACAAAGAGGAAGCAGCUCACAAUUCCUCCAAAACAUCAUUGCAAACGUCAUAGCUCUGUUUCCCCAAAUUCGUCAUUCCAUACUCUGCCUUCCUUAUUUAAAGAGUUCCAUGCAGAUGCAGAUGCAGUUCGAAACACAAGUCAGAUUUGAUCAUCCUCUGCAUAGACCCAACCGAAGUAUCUCCACUUCAUCUUCUUCCCCUACAAUGACACAACCCCAUUUCAUUGUGAUAACCUAUCCGGCACAAGGCCACAUCAACCCUUCUCUCCAACUGGCUAAGCGCCUCAUACGUGCUGGUGCCCAUGUCACAUUCGUCACUAGCACCUAUGCCGGUGAGCGCAUGGCCAAAACCCCAACCAUGGAUGGGUUAAAAUUUGUCACAUUCCCGGAUGGCUGCGACAGUGGCCUCAAGCAAAGCGAUGCCCUCCAAGGCUUCAUGUCUGAGCUUGAGCGUCUUGGCUCCCAAGCUCUUAUCGGCCUCCUCAUAGCCAGCGCUAAUGAAGGUCGUCCCGUUACUUGCAUAAUCUACGGCAUCCUGAUUCCUUGGGUAGCAGAGGUGGCGCGUAGUCUUCACAUCCCCUCCGCACUUUUUUGGAGUCAACCUGUCUCUGUUUUUAAUAUCUAUUAUUAUUAUUUUUGUGGCUAUGGAGAGCUCAUUCGCAAGAAAGUCAGUGACUCCUCGCCUUCCAUUGAAUUACCAGGACUGCCCUUGCUCAGUAGCCGUGACAUUCCCUGUUUCCUACUCCCCUCAAAUGCAAAUGAAUACAACUUCGUCCUUUCAGCGUUUCAGAAGCAC